GAUGAACGCUAGCGGCAGGCUUAACACAUGCAAGUCGAGGGCGAUUGAUAUUAGCAAUAGUAUUAAUUGACCGGCGAAAGGGUGCGUAACGCGUGAGUAACAUACCCGUUACAGAGGGAUAGUCGAUGGAAACGUCGUAUAAUACCUCAUAGUAUAGAUUUAUCCCCUGAUAGAUUUAUUAAAUCGUAAGAGGUAACGGAGUGGCUCGCGUCCCAUUAGUUAGUUGGCGUGGUAACGGCACACCAAGACAACGAUGGGUAGGGGUUCUGAGAGGAAGGUCCCCCACACUGGAACUGAGACACGGUCCAGACUCCUACGGGAGGCAGCAGUGAGGAAUAUUGGUCAAUGGACGGAAGCCUGAACCAGCCAUGCCGCGUGCAGGAAUAGAUCCCUAUGGGACAUAAACUGCUUUUGAUACUGAGCAAGAGCAUAUACGUGUAUAUGAGUGAGAGUAAGUAUCGAAUAAGCAUCGGCUAACUCCGUGCCAGCAGCCGCGGUAAUACGGGGGAUGCAAGCGUUAUCCGGAAUUAUUGGGUUUAAAGGGUGCGUAGGCUGUGCGGUGCGUCUGUGGUUAAAGGCCUCUGCUUAACGGAGCGUAUGCCAUAGAAACGGCCGUGCUUGAGAGUGAUUGCCGUGGGAGGAAUGUGUGGUGUAGCGGUGAAAUGCAUAGAUAUCACACAGAACACCGAUUGCGAAGGCAUCUCACGAAGUCAUAUCUGACGCUGAAGCACGAAAGCGUGGGAAUCAAACAGGAUUAGAUACCCUGGUAGUCCACGCUGUAAACGAUGAUAACUAACCGCCGGCGAUAGACUGAUCGGUGGCUAAGCGAAAGCGAUAAGUUAUCCACCUGGGGAGUACGACCGCAAAGUUGAAACUCAAAAGAAUUGACCGGGGG
rnacentral:rRNA from 1 species